rnacentral:rRNA from 1 species
AGCUCCAAUAGCGUAUAUUAAAGUUGUUGCAGUUAAAAAGCUCGUAGUUGGAUUUCUGGCAGAGCCGGUUGGUCCGCGCCGCAAGGCGUGUGCACCGCUCCGCGCUCGGCCUUCUUGGGGAGGAAGGCGUCUGCCGUUCAUUCGGCGGGCGUCCGGAGCCCCCUCGUUUACUGUGAAAAAUUAGAGUGUUUAAAGCAGGCUUACGCCGUUGAAUACAUUAGCAUGGAAUAAUAAGAUAAGACUUUGGCGGUCUAUUUUGUUGGUUUGCACGCCAAGGUAAUGAUUAAUAGGGAUAGUUGGGGGUAUUCGUAUUCAAUUGUCAGAGGUGAAAUUCUUGGAUUUAUGGAAGACGAACUACUGCGAAAGCAUUUACCAAGGAUGUUUUCA